UGUAAUGGGUUUCAAAUCGCA
rnacentral:piRNA from 1 species